rnacentral:rRNA from 1 species
UACAGAGGUCUCAAGCGUUGUUCGGAUUCAUUGGGCGUAAAGGGUGCGUAGGCGGCGCGGUAAGUCGGGUGUGAAAUCUCGGAGCUUAACUUCGAAACUGCAUUCGAUACUGCCGUGCUUGAGGACUGGAGAGGAGACUGGAAUUUACGGUGUAGCGGUGAAAUGCGUAGAUAUCGUAAGGAAGACCAGUGGCGAAGGCGGGUCUCUGGACAGUUCCUGACGCUGAGGCACGAAGGCCCAGGGGAGCAAAACGGG